AUUGAACGCUGGCGGCAGGCCUAACACAUGCAAGUCGAGCGGAGCGGCGGACGGGUGAGUAAUGCCUAGGAAUCUGCCUGGUAGCGGGGGAGAAGGGCCGGAAACGGGCGCUAAUACCGCAUACUAUCAGACGAGCAUAGGACGGACUAGCUAGUGGGAGGGGUAAAGGACUACCAAGGCGACGAUCCGUAACUGGUCUGAGAGGAUGAUCAGUCACACUGGAACUGAGAAACGGUCCAGACGCCUACGGGGGGCAGCAGUGGGGAAUAUUGGACAAUGGGCGAAAGCCUGAUACAGCCAUGCCGCGUGUGUGAAGAAGGGCUUCGGAUUGUAAAGUACUUUAAGUUGGGAGGCGUUACCAACAGAAUAAGCACCGGCUAACUUCGUGCCAGCAGCCGCGGUAAUUC
rnacentral:rRNA from 1 species